rnacentral:rRNA from 1 species
GAUGAACGCUAGCUACAGGCUUAACACAUGCAAGUCGCGGGGCAGCAUGGGGUUGCUUGCAAUCCCCGAUGGCGACCGGCGCACGGGUGAGUAACGCGUAUCCAACCUGCCCUUCACCACGGGAUAACCCGGCGAAAGUCGGACUAAUACCGUAUGUUGUCCAUUGACGGCAUCCGAUUUGGACGAAAGGUUUGGCGGUGAAGGAUGGGGAUGCGUCCGAUUAGCUGGACGGCGGGGUGACGGCCCACCGUGGCGACGAUCGGUAGGGGUUCUGAGAGGGAGGUCCCCCACACUGGAACUGAGACACGGUCCAGACUCCUACGGGAGGCAGCAGUGAGGAAUAUUGGUCAAUGGGCGUAAGCCUGAACCAGCCAAGUAGCGUGCAGGAUGACGGCCCUAUGGGUUGUAAACUGCUUUUAUGCGGGGAUAAAGUGGCCCACGUGUGGGUUUUUGCAGGUACCGCAUGAAUAAGGACCGGCUAAUUCCGUG